rnacentral:rRNA from 1 species
AAUGCCUAGGAAUCUGCCUGGUAGUGGGGGAUAACGUUCGGAAACGGACGCUAAUACCGCAUACGUCCUACGGGAGAAAGCAGGGGGCCUUCGGGCCUUGCGCUAUCAGAUGAGCCUAGGUCGGAUUAGCUAGUUGGUGAGGUAAUGGCUCACCAAGGCGACGAUCCGUAACUGGUCUGAGAGGAUGAUCAGUCACACUGGAACUGAGACACGGUCCAGACUCCUACGGGAGGCAGCAGUGGGGAAUAUUGGACAAUGGGCGAAAGCCUGAUCCAGCCAUGCCGCGUGUGUGAAGAAGGUCUUCGGAUUGUAAAGCACUUUAAGUUGGGAGGAAGGGUUGUAGAUUAAUACUCUGCAAUUUUGACGUUACCGACAGAAUAAGCACCGGCUAACUCUGUGCCAGCAGCCGCGGUAAUACAGAGGGUGCAAGCGUUAAUCGGAAUUACUGGGCGUAAAGCGCGCGUAGGUGGUUUGUUAAGUUGGAUGUGAAAUCCCCGGGCUCAACCUGGGAACUGCAUUCAAAACUGACUGACUAGAGUAUGGUAGAGGGUGGUGGAAUUUCCUGUGUAGCGGUGAAAUGCGUAGAUAUAGGAAGG